rnacentral:rRNA from 1 species
CCUACGGGAGGCAGCAGUAGGGAAUCUUCCACAAUGGGCGAAAGCCUGAUGGAGCAACGCCGCGUGGGUGAAGAAGGUCUUCGGAUCGUAAAACCCUGUUGUUAGAGAAGAAAGUGCGUGAGAGUAACUGUUCACGUUUCGACGGUAUCUAACCAGAAAGCCACGGCUAACUACGUGCCAGCAGCCGCGGUAAUACGUAGGUGGCAAGCGUUAUCCGGAUUUAUGGGGCGUAAAGGGAACGCAGGCGUUCUUUUAAGUCUGAUUUGAAAGCCUUCGGCUUAACCGGAGUAGUGCAUUGGAAACUGGGAGACUUGAGUGCAGAAGAGGAGAGUGGAACUCCAUGUGUAGCGGUGAAAUGCGUAGAUAUAUGGAAGAACACCAGUGGCGAAAGCGGCUCUCUGGUCUGUAACUGACGCUGAGGUUCGAAAGCGUGGGUAGCAAACAGGAUUAGAUACCCUUGUAGUC